rnacentral:rRNA from 1 species
GACGAACCGUGCGAACGUUGUUCGGAAUAACUGGGCAUAAAGGGCGCGUAGGCGGGCCCGAAAGUCAGGGGUGAAAUCCCACGGCUCAACCGUGGAAGCGCCUUCGAUACUGCGGGCCUGGAGGGAGGCAGGGGAGUGCGGAACUUCCGGUGGAGCGGUGAAAUGCGUAGAUAUCGGAAGGAACACCGGUGGCGAAAGCGGCGUGCUAGGUCCCUUCUGACGCUGAGGCACGAAAGCCAGGGGAGCAAACGGG